GAUGAACGCUGGCGGCGUGCCUAAUACAUGCAAGUCGAGCGAACGGACGAGAAGCUUGCUUCUCUGACGUUAGCGGCGGACGGGUGAGUAACACGUGGAUAACCUACCUAUAAGACUGGGAUAACUUCGGGAAACCGGAGCUAAUACCGGAUAAUAUCUUGAACCGCAUGGUUCAAUAGUGAAAGACGGUCUUGCUGUCACUUAUAGAUGGAUCCGCGCUGCAUUAGCUAGUUGGUAAGGUAACGGCUUACCAAGGCAACGAUGCAUAGCCGACCGGAGAGGGUGGUCGGCCACACUGGAACGGAGACACGGUCCAGACUCCUACGGGAGGCAGCAGUAGGGAAUCGUCCGCAGUGGGCGAAAGCCUGACGGAGCAACGCCGCGUGAGUGAUGAAGGUCUUCGGAUCGUAAAACUCUGUUAUUAGGGAAAAACAUAUGUGUAAGUAACUGUGCACAUCUUGACGGUACCUAAUCAGAAAGCCACGGCUAACUACGUG
rnacentral:rRNA from 1 species